rnacentral:rRNA from 1 species
UUUAAUAAGAAUAUAUUUACUGAAUGUGCCCGAUCCCGUCUGAUCUCGGAAGCUAAGCAGGGUGGGGCCUGGUUAGUACUUGGAUGAGAGACCACCUAGGAAGACCAGGUGCUGUAGGCA